UACGUAGGGAGCAAGCGUUGUCCGGAAUCAUUGGGCGUAAAGCGCGCGUAGGCGGCCUCAUAAGUCCGUUGUGAAAGUCAAAGGCUCAACCUUUGAAAGCCGAUGGAUACUGUGAGGCUAGAGUCCGGAAGAGGCGAGUGGAAUUCCUGGUGUAGCGGUGGAAUGCGCAGAUAUCAGGAGGAACACCAAUAGCGAAGGCAGCUCGCUGGGACGGUACUGACGCUAAGGCGCGAAAGCGUGGGGAGCGAACGGG
rnacentral:rRNA from 1 species